AUGGCAGCAGUCACCAGCCUCUCCAACUUCUGCACUACCUACGCUCUCUCUCUCUUCACCAAACAACCCUCAGCAUUUUUCUAUAUCCCCAAAAAGCCUCACUCCCACUCUCAUUUCCCGCAGUAAAGUCACCAUAACUCCCUCCGUCUCAUUCACCACCUCCUGCCUCACCCGCUUCUCCUUCAUCGCCAGCUCAUCCGCCGCAUACGGCGGUGGGCCCAGGACAACGGUGGCGGUGAUGACGGCGGUGAGGACCGGGAGCGGAACAAGGUGGAGGCCGUGGCGGCAAUAGCGGAGGCGGGGCGGUCGUCGGAGAGCCUGCCCAAGGACUUGGCGGCGGCGAUAGAGGCGGGCCGUGUGCCGGGGUCUAUUGUGAGGAGGUUCUUUGAGCUGGAGAAGUCGUUGGUGUUCAGGUGGCUGCUUGGGUUUGAUGGGUUUAAGGAGCUGUUGCUAGCGGAUGAUUUGUUCUUGACUAAGGUUGCUAUAGAGUGUGGUGUUGGAAUAUUCACCAAGACUGCUGCAGAGUUGGAGCGGCGCCGCGAAAAUUUUACCAAAGAGCUGGAUUUUGUUUUCGCGGAUGUGGUGAUGGCUAUUAUAGCCGAUUUUAUGCUUGUUUGGCUUCCUGCUCCUACUGUUUCACUUCGACCUCCUCUUACAGUCAGUGCAGGGCGUCUUGCUAAGUUCUUCUAUGGGUGUCCUGAUAAUGCUUUUCAGGUAGCUUUGGCUGGAACAUCUUACUCACUCUUACAGAGAAUAGGUGCAAUAGUGAGAAAUGGAGCUAAACUAUUUGCAGUCGGGACUGGUGCAUCUCUGGUUGGUACGGGUGUAACAAAUGCACUGAUUAAUACACGAAAAGCUAUUGACAAAUCUUUUGCUGGUGAAGCAGAGGAUGUUCCCAUAUUAUCAACUAGUGUAGCCUAUGGAGUUUAUAUGGCAGUUUCUAGCAAUCUAAGGUACCAAGUUCUCGCAGGAGUAAUCGAACAACGAAUUCUAGAACCCUUGCUACACAAACACAAGAUUAUACUGAGUGCAAUUUGCUUUGCUGUUCGAACAGGCAACACAUUCUUGGGGUCCUUGAUGUGGGUUGAUUAUGCACGGUGGGUUGGAAUUCAAAAGAUACGAGAUUAGAGCAUAGGGUAGAUUACAUGAUUAUUGUAAGUAAUUUUAUUUUUGUGUGGAUAUUGAUUUUGUUUAUGGAAUUACAGUGCGGUAACCUUCCGAUAAAAAUGCAAGAGAUGGGCAUUUAGAAAA